rnacentral:rRNA from 1 species
UACGUAGGCAGCAAGCGUUGUUCGGAGUUACUGGGCGUAAAGGGUGUGUAGGCGGUUCUUUAAGUUUGGUGUGAAAUCUCCCGGCUCAACCGGGAGGGUGCGCCGAAUACUGAGGGACUAGAGUGCGGGAGAGGAAAGUGGAAUUCCUGGUGUAGCGGUGAAAUGCGUAGAUAUCCGGAAGAACACCGAUGGCGAAGGCAACCACCUGGGCCUGCAUUGACGCUGAGGUACGAAAGCGUGGGGGAGCAAACAGG